rnacentral:rRNA from 1 species
AGGCUGCAACUCGCCUGCAUGAAGACGGAAGUUGCUAGUAAUCGCGAAUCAGCAUGUCGCGGUGAAUACGUUCCCGGGCCUUGUACACACCGCCCGUCACACCAUGGGAGUCGGAAAUGCCCGAAGUCUGUGACCCAACCUUAGGGAGGGAGCAGCCGAAGGCAGGUCGGAUGACUGGGGUGAAGUCGUAACAAGGUAGC